UUCAAUAGUCCUCAUCAUCAUUAGUGUAAAUUAGCAAGUAAGUUUCUCCGGUCUGUGAUUUCUUAUUGAUAGAAAAAAGUCGAGAUUGCAUUGCUUAAUAAAAACUAGGCAGGGUAGCACAACCAAUAGGAAGCUAGAAUACUAUAGAAUACCAUGCUUCAUUCAAAGAGUUCAAAACAAAGCAAUGUACUAGGAGUAAUCAGGUUGAUGGAAAAAUUGUUCCCUGUAAGAAGAUGCAGUAACUCUUUCAUGCCACUAGGGUAUUAAUAUUAGGGGGAAAGAAGCAACUGAUUAGAAUCCCAGAAGAGCUGUUAAAUCCCAGGAGAGAAUCAGAUGCAAAGAGGCUGGGGAGCAUUGGAGAGCAAAUAGAAUAUUUAAUGAAGAUUACUAUCUCUGUCACAACAUGAUUUUCCACAGGUGUGGGCCCCAUUAGCUCUGGCCACCUGAGAAAGCCCUCAGGCAAAGAGUCGCAGGUGAAAGCCAGCAGUUAGAGGUUCACAGAAAUGAGUGCAGAAGCAUCUUCAGUUGGAGAGCCAUUGCCUCUUGCUGUGAAAUAUUUGGGAAUCUUCAGAAACCAUGAAGAAUAACCUGCUAAAGCUGAGCUGGGACUCUGCCUGGAUAUAACUUAUGGCCUAUUCUAUAUGGAAAGUUGGUUUUCUCACAGUUCCACUCCCUUUCCAGAUAUCAGCAAAUGGCCCUCCUAGCCCAGAAGUCUCCAGAGAGGCCACCAAGUUCUAUUGAACAUCAUGAAUCCUAUGCUCAAGUGAGAUCAGCUCAAGUGAGACCAGAUAUCUGAAGACCUUUUCAUUUUCGCCACCCUCAAAUGAAGGCAUGCAAGCUUAUGUUGACACAUCGUUCUAGGAAGAAAACAGAACAUUUCUGCUCAUCAGUGUUUUGCAGUAAGAACUUGUGACCCCUAAUUGUCAAUAUAUCCUGUGGGACGGUAGGAGAUAAAAACUAUCAUGUGGAAGAUGCCCUCCCUGUGCCAAGAGAAAAGAAACAUUCUUCCAUGAAGACUCAUAGCCGAGAUAAUUCCGUAUAAACAGACCUUGUUAAAAGAAUUAUCUCCCUUUGGCCUCCCCACAAAAUUUAGAUACUUUUCCACAAUUGCCUCUUUACAAAAUCAUGUAAGCCUUGCUUUUUUUUUUAUCUUCAUUUUCUCAUGAGGGCUCCUGUGUCAUGUAAAAUAUGUUAAAUUUAUACGCUUUUCUCUUGUUAAUUUAUCUUACGUCAAUUUAAUUCUCAAGCCCAGCAGAGACCCUAGAAGGGCAGAGGUAAAUUUUUGCCUGCACUACACUAUUGAUCCCAAAACACACACACAGAGAGAGAGAGAGAGAAAGAGAGAGAGAGAAACUCUCUUCCUAUUCUGUGCCAGUGAAAUUCUGCCAUCAGCAAAUAUAUCUUUUCUGACUUUGAAAAUACUGAUGACAGUGGAGAUUAAAAUCCUACCAAGGCUGCUGCAGAAUCAAUGACACAUGAGGUGGCCAGGCAUGGUGGCUCACGACUGUAAUCCCAGCACUUUGGGAGGCCAAGGUGGGUGGAUCCCCUGAAGCCAAGAGUUCAAGACCAGCCAGGCUAACAUGGUGAAACUCCAUCUCUACUAAAAAUACAAAAAAUUAGCCGGGUGUGGUGGCACAUGCCUGUAAUCCCAGCUACUCAGGAGGCAGAGAGAGGAGAAUUGCCUGAGCCCAGAAGGUGGAGGUUGCAGUGAGCCGAGAUCAUGCCACUGCACUCCAGCCUGGGUAACAGAGUGAGACUCCGUCUCAAAAAAAAAAACAAAAAACAAAAAACAAAAAAAAAACACAUGAAGCUUUACCAGAAGAUUUCAGUAUGUCCUCCAGUGCGUAAUUCAUUUGUUCAACAAUUUUUACUGGGCAGGCAUUCUAAUAGAUGUUGAGGAUAUCACAAUAAAUAAGGCAAACAAAAUCUCUACCCUAUGGUAGAGAUUUUGAAAUAUCAAAUUAUUAAGUUUUAGGAAAAUUCAAUGACAAAAAGAAAGUCUUAUAAUAUUACCAUGUCCAGAUAAUGUAAGUAUUUACACAUUACUAUUUCAAUUUCAUUCAAUUUUUUUCUAAACUUUUAUUUUUUCAAACAUGUAAUCAUAAUAUAUUAGUGCUAAGUAUUAAAACAAUUUCUUAAUUCCCAUGUAAAUUUAAGGGUAUUUAAGCUUUUUUUUUUUUUUUUUUGAGACGGAGUUACACUCUUGUUGCUCAGGCUGGAGCUCAAUGGCGCGAUCUCAGCUCACCGCAACCUCCGCCUCAUGAGGUUCAAGCAAUUCUCCUGCCUCAGCCACCCCAAGUAGCUAGAAUUACAGGCAUGCGCCACCACGCACGUGGAAUCAGUUGUAUUGUUUCAAUACAACUUUUGGAAAUAAAAGUAUGGCAAAUUCUCACUCUCUUCCUUAGGUAAGCACCAAACUUUAAAAACAAAAGGCACUCACUAUAAGUGUGCUGUAGUGUUAUAAUGGCUAUGAGGUCAUUAAGAGAUAGGAAUUUUUCAGCCCGUUAUAAUCUUAGGGGACUAUUGUAUACGCAGUCUAUCAUUGACUAAAAUAUUAUUAGGCAGUAUAUGACUGUACUUUUGUUUAAGAUCUUAUGACAAAUCCAAAUAAAAA
rnacentral:lncRNA from 10 species